rnacentral:rRNA from 1 species
CCUACGGGGGGCUGCAGUGGGGAAUUUUGGACAAUGGGGGCAACCCUGAUCCAGCCAUGCCGCGUGAGUGAAGAAGGCCUUCGGGUUGUAAAGCUCUUUCGGCCGGGAAGAAAUCGCUCAAGCUAAUACCUUGGGUGGAUGACGGUAACGGAAGAAGAAGCACCGGCUAACUACGUGCCAACAGCCGCGGUAAUACGUAGGGUGCGAGCGGUAAUCGGAAUUACUGGGCGUAAGGCGUAAGAAAGAGGCGAAAGCCCCGGGCUUAACCUGGGAACUGCGUUUGUGACUGUGGUGCUCGAGUGCGGCAGAGGGGGGUGGAAUUCCACGUGUAGCAGUGAAAUGCGUAGAGAUGUGGAGGAACACCGAUGGCGAAGGCAGCCCCCUGGGUCGACACUGACGCUCAUGCACGAAAGCGUGGGGAGCAAACAGGAUUAGAUACCCGUGUAGUC